UUUUGAGAAAUUAAUCCAAGCCAUUCAUUCCAUACCUAUCUAAGUGUCAAAAUCAUUUCUUUUAGAGACAAGACCAAAAUCCUAAUGGUCCCUUCUUCUUCAUGAACUUUCAUAAAAAACAGAAAAAACUCUAGAGAAAAGAACCUACACACAAGAAACAAGGGUUGAAGCCUAAUAACACAAACAUACCAGCCGCCCAACACCAGCAACCACCUACAGGCGCCUCCUGCUCACUCACGACCGGACCCCCUUGAUUUUCGGCUUCUUCAACAGAACAUAGGGCCCCAGCCGUUUCUAUUCUUCUUCGUUCAAACACAAGAUGAAAAAAUAUUUGAACUCCAUCACCCCAAGAAGGAUCCAACCGCUGGACAACCUAGCCACUGGCCACCACUAUUAUCGCCGAAAACCAAACCAAGACAACAACCCCUAAUCUCGAUCUCCUCUAGACACUCACGAAUAGAAGACAGAGACAGGGGAUUGGCCGCAAAAAAGAAAAUGACCCCAUCUCCAUCUACCUUUCCAUCUCUCGACCAAACCAGCCCUUUUCCAACACACCCAUCGAAAAUACUCACCACACACACACGCUUACAGAAGUUAAAAAUACAUUUUAGAAUCAUGGAGUUCGUUUAGGUUGAAAGAUGUUUCGUGUUUGGGUUGCGCAAGGAUCAUUGCUCACUUCGAUCUACCUUGUUUCCCUUGUCCGCUGCUUUUCGAGAAGUUUGAAUUCAAAGCAGAGUUGACAAUAGAUUUGAAUCCUAUUGCACCAAAAAAGUUUUGACUCGAGGUUCCGGUCAAGGUUCAUGAUGUUUUGCGAUUCAAAGCCCUGAAGGUCCGUCCUAUCUUCUGUUCCCCUCUUGUCUGAUUUGCCUAUGAAUAGUUUUUAUUUUUCCAUGUUGAAUUUUGGUUGAAACUUUAAUUGUAAUAAUUUAUGGACUCUUGUCUAGAUGGACGUGUGGUGGUACCUAAUUCGAAUGGAAUCAAUAAUGGGUCAAUGAAGUAAUUGAGAAUAAGUGGGAUCAGAUCACAUGAGUUUGAAUAGAAUUAAGUUUAAGAAACUGGAUAGUAGAUGACAUGUUCUAUUUCGAUUUUGUUACUACUAGUUUCGUUUAAAGCUAGUAGCAUGCUUAGGCCGAUCACAUUUGGGUAGGCAAACUUUAGGAUUUUAUUUUGUUUAAUUUUGAGGCGAGAGAUUGUUUCCUUAGUUACAUUUAUCCGAGGAAUGCCCCGAAGGAUUUGUAAAAAUUUGAUUCCAGGGAAUGCCCCGUAGCACUUUUAUUUGGAGGCCAAAAGUAGAGUUUGUAGUAUUUUUAUCUUAUUUUAUUUUUAUUUUUAUUUUUUUGGAAGAGACGACCUCGAGCCUCUUGUGUGUUCAUUUUAUUUUUGUGUUAUAAUUUAAUAGCCAACUUGAUCAUGUAAGCAACCGUACUAGUUACGGGAAUCGGGGAAUGCCUAACACCUUCUCGCCAAGUCAAAUAAACCCCCUUAUUUGAAUCUUUAACGUGGAUUUAGUUUUGGGGUCCGAAGUGUUUUAAAGGAAAAACUAUAUUUUUAAAAAAAUACGGUGACCUCGCAUACCGAAAUCAAAGUCAGGAUGUGACUCUGAGUUACUUCCUUCAAACACAAAUUUUGUCACUUUUUAAUUGAAAAUCAUUUUCAAGAUUUACUAAAUCCUUUUAUUUAUAUUUAAGAGGGUUAGUGGAGUUUUGAAAAAAAAAGGGGUAUGACAUCUCCAGCAACUCUGCUGGGGAGGUGCAGGUUUGAGCUAGUACCUGAUCUUGUUGGAUUUUUAGGAUAUUCGAUUGAGGUUUUUAUGUAUUUUUUUUUGCUUUAUUUGACUUUUAUUUUAUGUCAUUUUAUUAUUUGCUCGUUUCUUAUUUGUUUACAGUUUACAAUUUUUCCUUUAUGUGCUCCUGCUUUAUAAAUUGUCAUUAAUUGCAUAACCAUGGGUCUUUUUUCUGCAACAAGUCUUCCGGAGUAUGUUUGAGUGUACACGGCCUUUUGUGAGUCACCCGUAUCCUUAGGGGAUUGGCGUGAGAGCGUGGAAUGGGCAGACAGCUAGAGCAGCCACCAUCGACCGCGUGCCGCCCCGAAUUGCCUUGUUAGUGAAACUCAAAUUUAGGUCAGCCUUUAUGUCAUUUACACCUAGUAGGGUUCAGUCCCAGGUACCGUGUCCCUUUGUAGGUGGCCUAUCCAAUUUUGUCAAAAUAGGAUCGUGGCCCAAAAAGACAUUCAAUCAUCCCUAUGUGAUACAUCUUGCAUCUUUGAGGGUAAAAAUGUCAUUUGGCGGAUCGAUGUUUGGGAAAUAAGGGUGCAAAAUGAAGCAAGUAGGGUUCAAUUAUAUUUUUCUUUCACAAUUUUUCAAGAAAAGACAAAAAAAUGAAAAUAAAAAAUUCAAAAAGAUUUUACACUUUCCCAUUACUUUUCAAAAAUGAAAAAAAAUCCAAAAAAAGAUUUUACACUCUUUCGUUAUUUUCUAAAAAAUUCAAAAAAGGAGAAAAAGAAAAUCCAAAAAGAUUUUACAUUUUUCGUCAUUUUUGAAAAAUUCAAAAAAAAGGUGAAAAAGAAAAUUCAAAAAGAUUUUACAUUUUCCAUCAUUUCUCAAAAAGAUAAAAAUAUAGUUUUUUCUAAUUAGAUGCAUUUUUUAAUUCUAUCCCAUAUGUAAUCUUCCUGAACUACGCGAACCUGAUUUUUGUCUUUCGGAACGAGAUACAUAGGAAACCCAAAUAGGAUCCAGUCUUCCUAGUAAGUCUUAGGUUCUUGGCUUUGCCGGAUCUUAGCCAAAUCUUCCAUGUCUAUCCACUUUUGGCCAUAUCGGCCAUUGUUGCAAAAUGGGGUUAUUUUCGCAAAAGUGAUUCAAUUACUCAUAUCUUAGGAUAUUGAGUCCACAACUAGGCAUCAUAUUUAUUUAAGGUCCAUCAUUUUUUAGUUUUCAUCUUUAGCCACUCUUUGCCACGUAGGCAUUUUGCAAAAAUAGCCCAAUCAUGUCUUGCAUGUGUCCACCAAUAGGAAGUGUUCUGAUCUCAGACAGUGUCUCGAGUCACUAAUCUUUUGGUCUUUUUUUCUCAUUCAGGUAUGGAUUCAUUUACCACAGCUCGAGCAUGAUUGAUACCCCAUGACCACUAUAUUCAUGAGCUGCUUAAGGAGCCUUUUUAUAUUUCGAGUUUGUUUUCUUGUUUUCUCUUACUUGUCUUGUACAGUAGUAUUCAUUCAUUUAGUUGGUGUC
rnacentral:lncRNA from 1 species